rfam:Operophtera brumata OBRT01_Sc01884, whole genome shotgun sequence.
CGUUCUAUGGCCAAAUUGGUAAAGGCAUCGCCGAUCACAGGCGAGGAUACGGAUUCGAGUCCCGCUGGAACUG